UACCAAGUUGUUUUCGAUGAUGCGGCUUCCAAAUCGACGAUCGACUCCGUUAGAUUUGAUCUACACUAUUGAAAGUAUUUGAAAACUAAAUUUCAGAUUUUUUUCAACAUCAUUUGACUAGUGAUCAAAAGAUCUCAAAAUUGACAAUUUUAAUGGCCGAUCUUGUGUCUUUGUGUGUUUAACGGUGUAAAACAAUCCAAAUGCGAUGAAAAUUUUAUAGAAAUUUUUUUUCACUAUUAAGAGUAAGAUCAGUAUAUCUGAUCUUGAAUUUAAAUCUUUUAUCAUCAUUUUUUAUGAGAUUUUUAUUUCCAGCUGUUCAAUUUUAGACUACUUGUUUGAUAGGUAAAUGAUAUCGAAAAAUUAUGAAAUUUAAUUUCUAAAUACUUUUAAUAGUGUAGAUCAAGUCUAACGGAGCCGAUUAUCGAUUUGGAAGCUGCAUCAUCGAAAACAACUUGGUAGCACGGAACCUUCCGUGCUACCGAUAGUAUAGU
rnacentral:lncRNA from 1 species